rnacentral:rRNA from 1 species
GCACUCCCGGGGCGUCUCUAUCUCAUCGCGAGAGGAGGCGCACCUAGAGCGUACACGCUGAUACCCGAAAGAUGGUGAACUAUGCCUGGCCAGGACGAAGCCAGGGGAAACCCUGGUGGAGGUCCGCAGCGAUUCUGACGUGCAAAUCGAUCGUCGGAGCUGGGUUUAGGGGCGAAAGACCAAUCGAACCAUCUAGUAGCUGGUUCCCUCUGAAGUUUCCCUCAGGAUAGCUUGCGCUCGGAUGAAACGAGUCUCAUCCGGUAGAGCGAAUGAUUAGAGGCCUUGGGGUCGAAACGACCUCAACCUAUUCUCAAACUCCAAAUAGAUGAGAACCCCGGCUUUCUUGAACUCCGUUUAUGAAGCCGGGGGCUCGGAUCAGAGUGCCAAGUGGGCCAAUUUUGGUAAGCAGAACUGGCGCUGUGGGAUGAACCAAACGCGGAGUUAAGGCGCCUCAAUCGACGCUCAUGUGAAACCAUGAAAGGCGUUGGUUGCUUAAGACAGCAG